ACCAACUGGCAGACUAUUAUCAAAAUUUAUCUUUAGAUGGUCAUACCUAGGUGCAAAACUCAUCAAAAGAACCGAGGCUGAUAUCCUCACCACGGUGGGCUUUUCCGGCUUAAUCAGGCCCGGCCCGUUUGUUACUUUUUAAUAAAUUGCUUUAAAAAAUUGUUCUAGCUCUUGAAGCCCCACCCGGACUCUCUCCGCACGCCCCUCUCCUCAUCCGCCUCUACUAUCCUCCACCGCUCGCCUCUCCUCCUCCGUUUAUACCACGUUUUUCGUUCGCGGCCGUGCCCCUAGCCGGCGACAGACCACCGCUCCUCCGCCCGCUCGUUCUCCCUGCUUCGGUGAGGUGGCUGAUAAAAAUAUCGAGGAAGAAGAAGGGCGGUGGAAUGGUGGAAGAGAAAGAGGCGCAGUACUACUCCAAAGAUUUCCAAUGGGAGGAGCUCCGAGAAGAGGUGGAGCGAGACCCCUCUCUCCGUCACCACCUCGCCCCUUUCCCCUCCUCUUCUCCCCAUCCGAGCGACGUGGACGCCUGGAGGCGCUUCCACCGGCGCCAUUCCACUGGAAGAUUUUUCAAGGAAAGGCGCUACUUGUUGAAGGAAUUUCCAGAAUUAGUUUAUUGUGAUGAUUUCACCAAUCUUUUGGAGGUGGGAUGUGGAAAUGGAAGCACAGUUCUUCCCAUCUUACGUGCAAAACAGAAUAUUCUUGUAUAUGCUUGUGACUGCAGCGAGGAGGUCCUUGAAAAGGCAAAGGAGAUUUUAGCUACUGCUAAUGCAGUCUCACUUGAACAACGGUUCCAUCCAUUUUUACUUGACUUUUCUGUAGGUGGCUUUCCAAAUUGGUUGUUCUGCGCUUCUUGUCAAAAGAAUUCCUUGGCAAAGCCUUUAAACUUCCCAUCAGAUUUUAAAGAAAACGAAUCAACAACAUUGAAUGAUUUAUCCUUCUUGCGAGAAGAUAGAUGUUGUAUUGGUGGAGUUGAUUUUAUUACUUUGAUUUUUACCAUGUCAGCGGUACCGCUUCAAAAGAUGUCAUUUGUUGCUGAUAAUUGUUUCUCUGUUUUAAAACCUGGGGGUUUGCUCUUAUUCAGAGAUUAUGGCCUUUAUGACAUGACAAUGCUUCGAUUUUUGCCGGAGCAGAGAGUGGGGUGCAAUGUGUACAUGAGAUCAGAUGGCACUCUUUCAUAUUUUUUCUCACUGGAUAUUGUAAGGGAUCUCUUCCUUGGUGCUGGCUUCAUUGAGUUGGAGCUUGAAUAUUGUUGUGUAAGGUCAGUGAAUCGCCGUAAUGGGAAGAAGAUGCAAAGGGUUUGGGUUCAUGGAAAGUUCCAAAAACCCUCAUAAUGCUUCCUACUUCAUUUUAACAUCUGCUCAAGGUUGAGUAGAAAGAAAUUGUGGAGGGUUCUUUUCUGCUGUGGCCCAAUUAAAGAGGUAAAAUAGUGCAGAGAGCUGUUUCUUGAUGGUUCACUGGUUCAAUUGUACAAACAAAUCAGCUACUUUUCUGUUAGAAUGACUUUCUAAUGUGGCGUUCUGUUUUACCUGCACCAAGAGGUGACCAUGAUAACAGUUAUGUGAUGCGGUAACAUAAGUUUUGGUAAGAAGUAGUUGAUGAGUCGAAGCAACCACUGCUUCAAUCCAUUAUUCUGCUGUGUCAGAGGGGUGAUGUUUGUUUUCUGUGUUUUCCUGUGGGUGAGAGUCAAAAGAAAGAGUUCAAGCAUUGAGAUUAUGGAGGUACCCAGAUGUCCAUGGAAUGCUAAGCAGAAUUGAACACACAUGGUGAUUUUCUUGAUAAAAUCAAAAACAUGCAAGUAGUAAGGCUCCUUGGAUGACAGGCGAUUUGGAAACUGCUUGUUAGGUUGACUCAAACAUUUAUUCGUAAAUGAAUAUUUUUGAUACAGGUUUUAUAUGCUUAUUUUUAGGCAACUUAUAAUUUGGAAGCAGAUUCCUUCAAUAUAUUUUACUAGGUGAGUUUGGAAACUUGAGAUAUCAUUCAUCAUUGAAGUCUACCUUGAGUAAGGAGAUAAGCAUGGAGACCUAUUUUUAUCUUGACAGAAUGUGACAAAGUCAAAUAAUUCAUUUUUUUCUUAAUCGAUCAUGUAGUCUGUUUACCUUCAUGCUUCACCCCAAGUGAUUAGAUUCUUUCUAGUAUAAUGCUUAUUCUUUGCAUAUAUUUUGCAAUCAGUGAUUGAUGACACCUCAUCAAACUUUUUUCUGUCAUCAUUCCUCCUAGUUCUCCAUUCAAACAAGUAUUAAUACCAACCAUGUGCCAAUGCCAUUAAACUUUCUCCAUCAUCAUUCCUCCAUGUUUUUCCAUUCAAACACGAUAUCGAUAUAGAGGGCCCAAUUCUGGGGCAUUCUAUAAUAUGAAUUGUUUAAUCAUUAAUGUUAAGGACAGCAGCAUACUGAUCAUGUGUGGCUGCAAGUACAGCAUACAUGUGAGAAAUAUGAUGUUCCUACCGUGAUUAAUUUUCAAAUGGAAGUAAAAUGGUAUCAGUACUGUAUCAUGCAGAAAGGAUGGUAUUCAAGUAGUUGAUGAUGUACUUAGCAAUACAUAUACAUGAGUUCUUUAUGAUUUCUGCUUUGCCUUUGUUUGUGCUGUAAAUUCAUUAAUUUCCUGUCCAUUAGUCGAUCAGAAGUAAAUCAUGAAUUGCCACCUAAUUGUGGAAGCUGGAGAGGUCUCAUCACAUUUUUCAGAUAUCUGUACUCUGUGCCCUCACAUAGAGUGUUUUCCUCCUAAUCAACAGAAGAUCAGAUCGGGUUUUCUGCCUGAAGUUUUGCUAGAUGGAAGGACCUACGAAUGGAUUCUUCUGUGCCAGCAAUGAAGGGAAAAAUUUUAUCUUUCUGGUGCACCACAAGUUUUUAUCUACAGCUCAUAAGUUUGUUACUUAUUCUCGGCCCCCAAACUCUUCAACCAAUUGACUUGCAAGUUGUAAUCUAUAUAAUUUAUUGCAGCCCCAAUACGUCUUUACCCAUUAUCAGACAUGUUAUUGCACCCUUUAAUCUUUCUUCUCACAGAAUAUAAC